AUCCUUUUGUAGUUCAUAAGCGUGACGAUUGGGUUUUCAUGCGCAUGCGUGAGACGUGUCUCCCACAAAUCUUGUUGUGACGUCAGCACAUUACCCAUCUGACA
ensembl:snoRNA